AACUUUCAGCAACGGAUCU
rnacentral:rRNA from 2 species